rnacentral:rRNA from 1 species
GAUGAACGCUGGCGGCGUGCCUAAUACAUGCAAGUCGAGCGAAUGGAUUAAGAGCUUGCUCUUAUGAAGUUAGCGGCGGACGGGUGAGUAACACGUGGGUAACCUGCCCAUAAGACUGGGAUAACUCCGGGAAACCGGGGCUAAUACCGGAUAAUAUUUUGAACUGCAUGGUUCAAAAUUGAAAGGCGGCUUCGGCUGUCACUUAUGGAUGGACCCGCGUCGCAUUAGCUAGUUGGUGAGGUAACGGCUCACCAAGGCAACGAUGUGUAGCCGACCUGAGAGGGGGGUCGGCCACACUGGGACUGAGACCCGGCCCAGACUCCUACGGGAGGCAGCAGUAGGGAAUCUUCCGCAAUGGACGAAAGUCUGACGGAGCAACGCCGCGUGAGUGAUGAAGGCUUUCGGGUCGUAAAACUCUGUUGUUAGGGAAGAACGAGUGCUAGUUGAAUAAGCUGGCACCUUGACGGUACCUAACCAGAAAGCCACGGCUAACUACGUGCCAGCCGCCGCCGUAA